AUGGUGGCUGUGAUGCGUAUUGAUAAGGGAUUUUCUGAGGGAUUGAGAGACCUGUUUUGGUUUUCAUCCCCCUGAUUGAUAGAAACCAAUGGAUCCUUCUGAGCCUAUUU
rnacentral:snoRNA from 1 species